AUAUAACUUAAGAUUGGACUACAAGCAGACCUUAAAAAUGCACUUGAGUAAACAUAUACUGUCUAUGUGGAGCUGUAAAAUGCCCACCGACCAACAACGGCUAAGAUGAUACGUAAAGUGACCAUCUUAGCAGCAAGCCAGCAACUUGUUCUGGGAUGACUAAGACCUGAUACAGUCCAACUAAUCAGGGGAUUGGGCCAUUAAGUUUUCAACUUGGGUUAUGAAUGGCAAGCACACCCUGAUUUCAGGUAGAGAUAGAUUCAGGUCAAGGGCUCAGUCGACUUGACCAAAAGUGAUUUAAUGCAAUAGCUUAAUCUUAAACAAGGAAAAACCAAAAAAAAAAGAAAAAUUUUCAAUAGUUCUUUUCUGAGCUAUCAUAAACUCUAAACAGUGUUUUUGGAUAUGCGGGCAAUAUAUUAAAUGCACAAAUUUUCUUGUUUUCCCAGGUGGCAACAACUUCUGAUCAACAGUCUUGUUGGUUAUGAUACAAUUCUUACAAAUAGUUU
rnacentral:lncRNA from 1 species